rnacentral:rRNA from 1 species
CCUACGGGAGGCAGCAGUGAGGAAUAUUGGUCAAUGGACGAGAGUCUGAACCAGCCAAGUAGCGUGAAGGAUGACUGCCCUAUGGGUUGUAAACUUCUUUUAUAUGGGAAUAAAAUGUUCCACGUGUGGGAUUUUGUAUGUACCAUAUGAAUAAGGAUCGGCUAACUCCGUGCCAGCAGCCGCGGUACUACGGAGGAUCCGAGCGUUAUCCGGAUUUAUUGGGUUUAAAGGGAGCGUAGGUGGAUUGUUAAGUCAGUUGUGAAAGUUUGCGGCUCAACCGUAAAAUUGCAGUUGAAACUGGCAGUCUUGAGUACAGUAGAGGUGGGCGGAAUUCGUGGUGUAGCGGUGAAAUGCUUAGAUAUCACGAAGAACUCCGAUUGCGAAGGCAGUUCACUGGACUGCAACUGACACUGAGGCUCGAAAGUGUGGGUAUCAAACAGGAUUAGAUACCCGUGUAGUC